CAUAAACGACUCUCGGCAACGGAUAUCUCGGCUCACGCAUCGAUGAAGAACGUAGCAAAAUGCGAUACUUGGUGUGAAUUGCAGAAUCCCGUGAACCAUCGAGUUUUUGAACGCAAGUUGCGCCCGAAGCCUUUUGGUUGAGGGCACGUCUGCCUGGGCGUCACAC
rnacentral:rRNA from 2 species